rnacentral:lncRNA from 1 species
UACUGCGCAUGCGUCCGCGUCUGUCCAUCAUUUCGCGCGCCCAUUUUCGGGUACGCGACUGUUCGUGGAGCUGUUCGGACCCGUCGUCGCGCAUGCGACGGCCGCAGGUGACGCUGGAGCCAAAAGAGUCCGUUCCCGGGGCGGCUCCGCUGCAAACCGGCCGAGCAAAUAGGCGGGGAGCACUCAGGGUCGGAGGAGAGAAAAGUACCGCUGAGCCGCCGGCCCGGAAACGGAGCGCCCGCCCGCACCGAAUGGGUUCGCGCUUAUGCAUAGCCAGGCCUUGAGGCGCAUGCGCACCGUUGUCUGGAGGACUACGUGGAAGAAGGGUCAGCGAGUUUGCUAACAGAGCGACUAGAAAGUACAUCCAGCACUUCCGGCUCCCCGCGCGCAUGCGUCCCGCCGCUUCCGGCGCCGCGCAGACCCGGCUGCGAUUCCACCGAUUGGCCACGCGGGGGCAGCAGAGACCGCGGAAAGCGCCCCCCCGUCCGGAUGGAGCGGACCGCCGCUGUUUUCCUUUGGGUGGCGAAGGGGAGGAAAACACAGAAGGGGAAGAAGGGGGGAACGGGAGACCAUGAGGAAAACCAAGGAACAUUUCGUCCAACCCACCAAACCCGUGCUGAGCGCUUAUGAAUAUCUCUGGACUAAUUAAUACACAAGCAGCUAAUUGACGUUGUCGCUCCGUAUCCCAAUGUGCCCUCGGGGGCAGUCGGUGGCGUUGCUAAUUGACGCGGGGGCGCAGAUUGCGGGUGCUGCGAAGCCGCGGGCGCAGCAAAAAGGGCUGAGAUUCCCGGUGUGAACGGAGCGGGGCCGCUGUCUGCCGAACCGCCGGGCUCCGCUUACGGCCCCCCGGCGAGAAACGCGUCCCGUCCGCCCGCUUUGCGAUUGCAGACCGAUGCGAAAGCCGUGUGCGAUUCGGCGUCCUCGGCGGGCGAAGCCGGCAGCUCCCGUAUGGCAGCGUGCGGCCCUUCGGCCCGAACAUCCGUCCCAAAGCCCAAAGAAAUGGGGGGGCCGCAGCCGCCGUACUCCGUGCAGCCCCCGCGCUCCUGGAAUCGGAGCCCACGGAGGAACCCCAGCGCCCCAUUUCUGCCGCAGCGCAACGUGGGGGUUUCUGAAAUCACGGCGGCUUUGGGAGAAAACGCGGAUCAGCCCCGCAACGCACUGCCCCAAUAACUCGCAGGUUGGAAAGCAGCCGGGAGGUGGUGAUUAACAGCCAAUUAUCGGUGCCUGAACUCCCGCAGCCCCGCCGGGCUCCGCUGUCCCAAACACCGCAGCUCUUCUGCGCCCAUCCACGCGCGGCCGCUUUAGGCGUAAGAGAGCCCUUCUCUGCGGUUCCGUCGAGGAGGAUAAAGGGAAAAAAGUGUGCUUUCACGCGGAGGGGACACACGCGCGUUUAUCGGAGCCCACGCGGUGCAAAUCGUUCCCCUCUAUUCCCCGCUCGGCGUUUGCUGAACUCUCACGGACGGUUUCACCGCCUCAGGACGAGAAAACGCAGCGCUGCGCGGAUGGGAUUCCAACGGGACGGACCGCCCCCGAGAAGCCGCGACUGCGACCGGCGGUUAUGGGCCCCCCCGGCGCCGCCCCACACUUUCCAGGAGAAGUCGUUCCGGAAGAGGUCGCGGUGCUGCGCCGUCUGUCGGGACAGCGUGGGCGCCCAUGGGCUGCUCUGCCGAGUCUGUAAGAUCGUCUCCCAUAAGCGCUGUGAAGCCAAGGUUUUCUCUGUAGAGCCGCAGUGACCGCUCUGCUCCUGCAGGUGACAUCCCCGUGCCACCCUCCGCCCCCUCCCGAGCUGCGGAGGAACACCGCCCCAGCGAGGCACGGCGAGAAGCCGGAUGGCAACCUGCAUCUCAGCGCCCUCCGGCAGCACCGCUCCCUGCCCAGGUGCCGUGGGGGGGGACGUGGGUUGGGGGGGGGCUCUGCGGACGCUGUCACUCUCACUGUCCCUCGGUCCCCAUCCCCGGGCCCCCACAUCCCCUGCCCCCCCCAGCCCGGAGCUGGGCUCCACGUCCCUAUAACCCCGUAACCUCGUGACCCCAUGCAUGCCCCCCACGACCCCAUGACCCCAGGCUGCCCCCCCCGGCCCCCCCGCGGAGCUGAGCUAUGUGACGGAGCGGAUCAUCGCCGUGCGCUUCCCGGGGGGGCGGACGAACGGCGCUUCCGCGGCCACCUCCGUGAUGUCGCAGCGCUGCUGCGCGCCCGGCACCGCGACGGGUAUACGCUCUUCAACCUCUCCGAGAAGCGCCACGACCUCAUCCGUCUGCACCCCGCGGUGCAGGAGUUCGGCUGGCCAGACCUGCUGGCCCCCCCCCUGGACACGCUGUGCGCCAUCUGCAAAGCGUUGGAGCGCUGCCUGCGCGCGCUGCCCCCCGCGUGGCCGUGCUGCACUGCC